rnacentral:rRNA from 1 species
UACGUAGGGGGCAAGCGUUGUCCGGAUUUAUUGGGCGUAAAGAGCGUGUAGGCGGCCAGGUAGGUCCGUUGUGAAAACUCGAGGCUCAACCUCGAGACGUCGGCGGAAACCCUCUGGCUAGAGUCCGGAAGAGGAGAGUGGAAUUCCUGGUGUAGCGGUGGAAUGCGCAGAUAUCAGGAGGAACACCGAUAGCGAAGGCAGCUCGCUGGGACGGUACUGACGCUGAGGUGCGAAAGCGUGGGGAGCGAACAGG